CUUUCAGAAAAUAAACAAACAUCCUGCUGUGGGUGUGAUAUUAUUGGAUGUAUUUCUGAAUUAUGCUUAGAUAGCAUCAGAUUCUCGAUGGAUUAUGACGUCAGAACUUUGGUUGCAUGCUGAGUGCAAAAUUAUACUUUGCUUGCGUGCGUCCAUACAUCACCUCCCCCCACCAAGACGGGAUCGCCACUGCAUAUAACUGUGCAUGUGAUUAGUGGAGGACACACCACAGCUGCCUUAUCUCUGGUUUUAGAAUCUCACGAUUGCAGCGGCACUGCUGUUCAGCCAGUUAACUAACCCAUCUUACCAAGUAACCAACCCAUCUCACCAGGUGAUCAGAUGUGGUCACUGCUGUUCAGCCAGAUAACCAACCCAUCUCACCAGGUGAUCAGAUGUGGUCACUGCUGUUCAGCCAGGUAACCAACCCAUCUCACCAGGUGAUCAGAUGUGGUCACUGCUGUUCAGCCAGGUAACCAACCCAUCUCACCAGGUAACCAGAUGUGGUCAUGCUUAUUGGUUGAUCCCCAUGAAAUGUCAUCAGUUGUGAUAAAGGCCCCUGUCAAAGGUAAUCACCACGGGUAGGACAGCC
ensembl:lncRNA